UAUGUACUUCCUCCGUCCAACAAAAGAUGUCUCAAGUUUGUCAAAAUUUGGAUAUAUCUAGACAUGACUUAGUGUAUAGAUGCAUUCAAAUUUAGUCAAAGUUGAGACAUCCUUUGUUGGACGGAGGGAGUAGAUG
rnacentral:pre_miRNA from 1 species